rnacentral:rRNA from 1 species
AUACGUAGGUGACAAGCGUUAUCCGGAUUUACUGGGCGUAAAGGGCGUGUAGGCGGUCUUGCAAGUCAGAAGUGAAAUUCCUGAGCUCAACUCGGGCGCUGCUUCUGAAACUGCAGGACUUGAGUGCUGGAGGGGAUAGCGGAAUUCCUAGUGGAGCGGUAAAAUGCGCAGAUAUUAGGAAGAACACCGGUGGCGAAGGCGGCUAUCUGGACAGUAACUGACGCUGAGGCGCGAAAGCGUGGGGAGCAAACAUGAUUAGAUACCCUGUUAGUCCACGCCGUAAACGAUGAAUACUAGAUGUAGGGGGUAUCGACUCCCUCUGUGCCGCAGUUAACACAAUAAGUAUUCCGCCUGGGGAGUACGGCCGCAAGGUUGAAACUCAAAUGAAUUGGCGGGG